rnacentral:rRNA from 1 species
GGGAAAUCGCUGGCCGGGGUGCCUAAACAUGCAAGUCGAGCGAAUGGAUUAAGAGCUUGCUCUUAUGAACGUUAGCGGCGGACGGGUGAGUAACACGUGGGUAACCUGCCCAUAAGACUGGGAUAACUCCGGGAAACCGGGGCUAAUACCGGAUAACAUUUUGAACUGCAUGGUUCGAAAUUGAAAGGCGGCUUCGGCUGUCACUUAUGGAUGGACCCGCGUCGCAUUAGCUAGUUGGUGAGGUAACGGCUCACCAAGGCAACGAUGCGUAGCCGACCUGAGAGGGUGAUCGGCCACACUGGGACUGAGACACGGCCCAGACUCCUACGGGAGGCAGCAGUAGGGAAUCUUCCGCAAUGGACGAAAGUCUGACGGAGCAACGCCGCGUGAGUGAUGAAGGCUUUCGGGUCGUAAAACUCUGUUGUUAGGGAAGAACAAGUGCUAGUUGAAUAAGCUGGCACCUUGACGGUACCUAACCAGAAAGCCACGGCUAACUACGUGCCAGCAGCCGCGGUAAUACGUAGGUGGCAAGCGUUAUCCGGAAUUAUUGGGCGUAAAGCGCGCGCAGGUGGUUUCUUAAGUCUGAUGUGAAAGCCCACGGCUCAACCGUGGAGGGUCAUUGGAAACUGGGAGACUUGAGUGCAAAGAGGAAAGUGGAAUUCCAUGUGUAGCGGUGAAAUGCGUAAGAUAUGGAGGAACACAGUGCGAAGGCGACUUUCUGGUCUGUACUGACACUGAGCGCGAAGCGUGGGGGAGCAACAGAUUAAAUACCUGGUAGUC